CACGUAGUUGGCCGGCGCUUCUUCUGCAGGUACCGUCACCGCAAGCGGCUUCUUCCCUACUGAAAGAGGUUUACAACCCGAAGGCCGUCAUCCCUCACGCGGCGUCGCUGCAUCAGGCUUUCGCCCAUUGUGCAAUAUUCCCCACUGCUGCCUCCCGUAGGAGUCUGGGCCGUGUCUCAGUCCCAGUGUGGCCGGUCACCCUCUCAGGCCGGCUACCCGUCAUCGCCUUGGUAGGCCAUCACCCCACCAACAAGCUGAUAGGCCGCGAGCCCAUCCCAGACCAGAAACCCUUUACACACACCAACAUGCAUCGGUGUGUCAUAUCCAGUAUUACGCCCGGUUUCCCGGAGUUACUCCCAGUACGUCUGGGGCAGGGUUACUCACGUGUUACUCACCCGUUCGCCACGUAACUCCAAGAUUCGCAACGCAACCUCUUCAUCGUUCGACUUG
rnacentral:rRNA from 1 species